AGAGUUUGAUCCUGGCUCAGAAUCAACGCUGGCGGCGCGCCUAACACAUGCAAGUCGAACGAGAAAGUGGAGCAAUCCAUGAGUAAAGUGGCGUACGGGUGAGUAACACGUGGAUUAUCUGCCCUUUAGUGGGGAAUACCGCUGGGAAACCGGCGACAAUACCGCAUAAGCUCGAGAGAGGAAAGCAGCAAUGCGCUGAAGGAGGAGUCCGCGGUCGAUUAGCUAGUUGGUAGGGUAAUGGCCUACCAAGGCUGUGAUCGAUAGCCGGCCUGAGAGGGCACACGGCCACACUGGCACUGAAACACGGGCCAGACUCCUACGGGAGGCAGCAGUGGGGAAUCUUGCACAAUGGGGGCAACCCUGAUGCAGCGACGCCGCGUGAGCGAUGAAGCCCUUCGGGGUGUAAAGCUCUUUCGGCAGGGAAGAUUAUGACGGUACCUGCAGAAGCAGCUGCGGCUAACUACGUGCCAGCAGCCGCGGUAAUACGUUAAGCAGCAAGCGUUGUUCGGAGUUACUGGGCGUAAAGGGUGCGUAGGCGCGGCUUCAUAAGUAUGGUGUGAAAUCUCCCGGCUUAACUGGGAGGGUGCGCUAUAGACUGCCGGGCUAGAGUGUGGGAGAGGAAAGUGGAAUUCCUGGUGUAGCGGUGAAAUGCGUAGAUAUCAGAGGAACACCGGUGGUGUAAACGGCUUUCUGGACCAUAACUGACGCUGAGGCACGAAAGCGUGGGUAGCGACCAGGAUUAGAUACCCUGGUAGUCCACGCCCUAAACGAUGCAUAUUUGGUGUGGGUCAUUCAGUUGAUCCGUGCCGGAGCUAACGCGUUAAAUAUGCCGCCUGGGGAGUACAGUCGCAAGGCUGAAACUCAAAGGAAUUGACGGGGCCCGCACAGCGUGGAGCAUGUGGUUUAAUUCGA
rnacentral:rRNA from 1 species